rnacentral:lncRNA from 1 species
AAGCACCAUCUCCAAUGGCUGGAUUUGUUUUUGGUUUUGCUUCUUCUAAGUUCAUGUUAGACGGGUAAUGUGCUGACGUCAUAACAAGGUUUGAGGGUGACACAUCUCACACACGCAUGCGUGAGCACCCAAUUAUCAUACUUAUGAACUGCAAUUAUCAGCUUAUGGCUGGAUUUGAAGCGGAGACACAUAGCUAUGCUUGACCUAAUACCUCAUUUUGGCUUUUCACUUAUAAUUAAUUACUCACCUAAUCAUUUACUCAGUAAAUGUCCUCUGAAUACCUGCUAUGUUCCAGGCACUUGCUAAAGUCUGGAAACAAAAUAGAAAGCAACACAUAUCUGGCCCUUACAUUUCUAAAGGCGUAAGUAGAAAAUUAAUUUAAAUAGCAUGAAGAUAAUUGGUAAACCCAAGACAUAAUGGUAGCCCAUCUCACUCCAGAUAAGUGUAAAACUAUAGAUGGUGUUUGUGUUACAAGGGAAAGGCACAUUGUACCAUGAGGACGGGGAACAUGGGCUCCACAUAGACUGAAGGAGAGUUUCCCUAAAUUAGAAAUUUUUUUGGAGGACUUUUAUUUCCUGCAGGUGGGGUGGGUUAGAUACCUAAGCAAUCUUGCCCAAAUGAAAGAACUCAAAUGCAGAAGAAAAUAUUUUUAGUAACAACUUUCUAAAGCCAUUGCUGGGUUGGCACAAAAAUAAGAAUCUAUAGAUCCCAAAAAGAAGGAAAAGCCAGACAGACACCCAAGUGGAAUAUGCCAAGCAGGCGCUUUCAGGAAAUGGAAUAUUAAAAAUCCAAGAAAACAAUGGAAGGCCUAAAAGAAAGAACAAUGCCAUGGCGAGGUACUCAGAGCUGAGGGAGGAAGAUUGCUGCAGCCAGUGAGCUAAGCGGAAAGAAUAUCCUGGGCUUCCUUGGGAUCCGAUGUGGACUUGGUCCAGCUGCAGAUGAGGAAAUCCAAGCUCAGAAUGGAUAAUUCACCUAAGGAAAUACAGAUGGAAAAUGGCAGAGCUGCAAUCUAAACCCAGGUCCAUCUGAUAAUAAAGCCCAGGCUCUCCUCAACCAACUUCAGAUCUAGGAUGCUUCCAGUGAGACUCCGUGCUCCCUCCCUGUGUGGUUCCCAUGGCCUUUCUUUACCUCAAGAAAAUGCAGAGUGAAAAGCAAUGGUAGCAGAAGUUUCUAGAAGUUACUUAUAUGGCAAGUGCAAGUAUUUCAGAACACAUUUGAGAUUCAGGAAGGAGGCAAAAAGGCUUCUGCUGAGCAGUCAAAAUGACGAAGUUUGUAAACUUCACUUUAUUUGGGUCCCUGCUGAAAGUCUACCUACUCUUUAAAAACAAUAACAACAACAAAAAAUGGGAACACACUAUUAACGCUGUUCUGCACAUGUAUUUUUCAAUUAACAAUUGGUGAGUAUUCCCUUUUAGCGCACAUAGAUCUACCUCAUUCAUUUAAGGGCUCUGUAGUGCUGCAUUGUGUGAAUGCACCAAAUGUGUAUUUAUCCUGCAUUCUCUAGGUGGACAUUUUAGACACUUACAAGGGUUGGGGCUCAGAAAGUGAUAUCCCAAAGGCUGAUGUUUUGACAUGCUGAGGGCCCUCAGAAGCCGCCCCCGAACCAAGGUCCCUCUAACUUCUUGUUCCCCAUACCUGCCCCACCACCAAACACAGGGAGGGACUGUCUGUCUUUGGAAAUUUCCUCAUCUGACCAAGAAAGCAUCUUUCCAAAAGAAAUGCAAUUGUCUUAAACACCCUCCCUAGAGGUCUCAUCAAAUAACCAAGAAAGAUAAACCACCAGAAGAGAUGAGACUGGGAAUCAUCACCACACCCAGACAGACUUCAUCUAUUCUUCUGAGAGCAGCUCCAAGAGAUUGCCUGGAGGACUUUAUCUGCUUAAUAAGACAAGCUUUGUUCCUGUACAGCUCCGCCCCUCACCUUCCUGUAAUAUCUGCCUCCCACCUCCCCAGUCCAUACAUCUCCUCCCUCCUGUAUGAAAAAGGGUAUACAAGCUUCUGUGCCCCAUUGGGUUAUUGGGAAAUCAUUCUCCUGUGAUUCCCCUGUGCCAUGCACACUAAAAUAAAAUUUUGUAUGCCUUUUCUCCUAUCGAUCUGCCUUUGGUCAGUUGAUUUUUCAAUGAACCUUCAGAAGGCAAAGGGGAAGUUUUCCCUUGGCCCCUGUACAUGUCUUUUGUAACUAUAGAUAAUGCUGUCAUGAACACCCUUUCUUCCCCCAUGUCUGAUGGGUAACGCACCAACAUUGUAACAAAAUUGGAGGAAGGCAUAUGUCACACAUGAGCGUGAAAACCCAAUCACCACGCUUAUGAACUACAAAAAGUACAUGAAACUGUGUUAUCCACAAGUCAGAUGAACCCAAAGAACUUGUUUCCAAGCCCUUCCUGGAGCAGAAUCAGUGAAGAGGAGGGGAAAGGGUUGCUAGAGGCUGUUGGCCUGAAGCAAUACAAGCUACUGCUGACAGUCUGGCAGGAGAAAGGAGACACAAAACUCUACAAAGCAAACACAAGAAGGAAAACAGGCCAGGAUCAUUUAGCAGAAGGUCCAAACAGUCCAAGACGGCAGAGUAGGCCUUUAGCAUAUACGAACUGAGGUUGAGAAGUACACUUAACCAUGAAAAAAGGGGCUUAAAUCUCUUCUCCAUGCUCUGUUUUAGAAGGCAGAAGAGUGUAAAAUCCAUUUUAGAAUUAUUUUCCUCUAAAAUGGCGAUCUAGGAAAAGGCCCAGCACUUGAAAGGACAAACGUCGACUGUGUAUGUAGCACACACCAUAACCUAUGGCGUUGGAUAGAGUGCUAUUAUACAAAAAUUGAUUGCUUUUUUUUUGAAAAAACAAGGACAGACAAGGCCUAUAAAGAAUAUGGAAGAUGGGCUCUUAGAAAAGGUGGACAUUUUGGCCGGGUGCUGUGGCUCACGCCUGUAAUCCCAGCACUUUGAGAGGCCGAGGCGGGCAGAUC